rnacentral:tRNA from 3 species
GGCCUCGUAGCUCAGCCUGGAUAGAGCGACUGCCUUCUAAGCAGUAGGUCGCAGGUUCAAAUCCUGUCGGGGCCG